rnacentral:rRNA from 1 species
GGCAGGCUUAUACAUGCAAGUCGAGGGGCAGCAUGACUGUAGCAAUACAGUUGAUGGCGACCGGCAAAUGGGUGCGGAACACGUACAGAACCUUCCUUUGAGCGGGGAAUAGCCCAGAGAGAGGUGGAUUAAUACCCCAUAGUAUAUUGAGUGAGGCAUCUCGUUGAUAUUAAAGAUUUAUCACUCAAAGAUGGCUGUGCGGCUGAUUAGGUAGUUGGCGGGGUAAUGGCCCACCAAGCCUACGAUCAGUAACUGGUGUGAGAGCACGACCAGUCACACGGGCACUGAGACACGGGCCCGACUCCUACGGGAGGCAGCAGUAAGGAAUAUUGGUCAAUGGACGAAAGUCUGAACCAGCCAUGCCGCGUGGAGGAUGAAGGUCCUCUGGAUUGUAAACUUCUUUUAUAUGGGACGAAAAAAGGCUUUUCUAAGUCGUCUGACGGUACCAUAU